GGAACAAAGUUCAUGUCUUUCAUACUAAUUUUUCUUCCUUUCUAAAAAUAUAUAUAUGUUUUCAGGAUGUACCAAAGAAGAGUUCUGGAACGUGCUUUGUAAGAACAUGAACGAAGUCCCAACACAGGUCAUCUGGGGAAAUGAAGAUCAGGUAUUCUGGUGAAUAUAGGAACUGGUACUCUUUGUCGCUCUAGGAAUGGAAUAUGAACGAGAACAAUUAUUUAGGUUGCUUUGCAUUUUAUUUCCCAGAAUCGUCACUCUCAUGAGGUGGCGCUGAAGCAGGUAGAAAUAGAGUGAUUCAAAAAGAAAAAAGCUGAUACUAGCUGAGGGUUUGAGUUUAAGUAAAGCUGAGGCUUGAAAGAUGCCAGACUGGCAGCAAAGGAGUCCCAGUGACCUCGUGACUGAAACAGGACUGCUGGAGGCAGCGCUAGCUUUACCGUGCUGCCCCAGGCGCGCUGCCUGGAGCUUCACUUGGAGGGGCAGAGCAGUCUGAACUCUCUCAAGUCAUGUCUCCUGCUGCAAAUGCCAAGAUUAUCAAUUAUGAAUGUGUUCUGCGUGCUAGGAACUAGAUCAGACUCAUUUCCCAUAGAUCAGCCAUCCUGGAUACCGAGGACCACAGUGAAAGAAUGCAAUGUGACUAGAGCAGAAAGGUUGCUGGUCUUGUCACUAACCUGAUACAAUUCCAUCCGUGGCCAGGAUGGCUAUGUUGAACUGGCGGAUGUCUCUCUAAGCCUGAAUAGCACAGCAUUGAUCCCUAUGGAUAGAAACUCCUAUCUGAAAAACAGAGAGCGGUUCAGUAAAGUAGCUUAAGAGUGGGGAAAUGUUGGUCCUGCCCUUACUAGGAGCAGAACUCUGCUAGCUACAAUCCCAUUUAAACACAAGGGGUGUUAAAAUAGUAGGGUUCUUGCAUUAUUACCCUGAUCUGAGUGUUCAAAGUGUUCUAAAACUGUGUUAUAGCCUGCCUAAGAGGAUAGGUAUCAGAAGGGGGAAAAUAGGGUCUGGUUUUCAGAAGUGCUGAACAUCUCCAACUCCAGUUUAAAUUUAUGCUUAGCACUUCUGAAAAUCAGGCCUAAAAGAACCCAGCCUGCAGAGGGAAAAAACACCAUUUUUAAGGGGAGAAAAUCUUGUUUAGGGUCAGCACACAGUGUUAGAGCACUGCUAGUAUCAGCCAUUCUGAUCAGGGUUGCAGCUCGCAUUGUUCUGAACACUGGGUGGAUAAGGACUAAAUGUUCUCAUUACUUAACUAUUAUGAACUUCGUUUGGGUAGAUAAAGGAAAUAAAUGAGGCGCUAGCUGAAGAAUCUGAUGUGGGGAACAAAUGCUUGUCAUAGUAUCCUACUCUCGUACCCAAAUGCAUAUAAAAUAAAUGCAGAGAUUGUUUG